GAUGAACGCUGGCGGCGUGCCUAAUACAUGCAAGUCGAGCGAACAGAUGAGGAGCUUGCUCCUCUGACGUUAGCGGCGGACGGGUGAGUAACACGUGGAUAACCUACCUAUAAGACUGGGAUAACUUCGGGAAACCGGCGCUAAUACCGGAUAAUAUAUUGAACCGCAUGGUUCAAUAGUGAAAGACGGUUUUGCUGUCACUUAUAGCUGGAUCCGCGCCGCAUUAGCUAGUUGGUUAGGUAACGGCUUACCAAGGCAACGAUGCGUAGCCGACCUGAGGGGGGGAGCCGCCCACGGGGAGUGAGGGGCCGCACCAGGACUGAGAGGGGGGCAAGAUUCGGAAUGCUGCCAGAAGGGGGGAAGGCUGAACGGAGGAAGCCGGCGUGAGGAAGGGAGGCCUUGGGGGGGAAAACCGUUUUUGUUGGGGAAAAAAAAAUUGCAAAGGACUAAGCCCUUUUUGACGGUACCUGAAGAAGAAGCCCCGGCUAACUCCGUG
rnacentral:rRNA from 1 species